rnacentral:rRNA from 1 species
GUGGGGAAUAUUGGACAAUGGGCGAAAGCCUGAUCCAGCCAUGCCGCGUGUGUGAAGAAGGUCUUCGGAUUGUAAAGCACUUUAAGUUGGGAGGAAGGGCAGUAAGUUAAUACCUUGCUGUUUUGACGUUACCGACAGAAUAAGCACCGGCUAACUACGUGCCAGCAGCCGCGGUAAUACGUAGGGUGCAAGCGUUAAUCGGAAUUACUGGGCGUAAAGCGUGCGCAGGCGGUUUUGUAAGACAGGCGUGAAAUCCCCGGGCUCAACCUGGGAAUUGCGCUUGUGACUGCAAGGCUGGAGUGCGGCAGAGGGUAGUGGAAUUCCAGGUGUAGUGGUGAAAUACGUAGAUAUCUGGAGGAACACCGGUGGCGAAGGCGGCUACCUGGUCGAGUACUGACACUGAGACACGAAAGCAUGGGGAUCAAACAGGAUUAGAAACCCUAGUAGUCC